GAUGAACGCUGGCGGCGUGCUUAAUACAUGCAAGUCGAACGGAAAGGCCCAAGCUUGCUUGGGUACUCGAGUGGCGAACGGGUGAGUAACACGUGGGUGAUCUGCCCUGCACUUCGGGAUAAGCCUGGGAAACUGGGUCUAAUACCGGAUAGGACCACAUUUUGGAUGGUGUGGUGGAAAGUUUUUCGGUGUGGGAUGAGCUCGCGGCCUAUCAGCUUGUUGGUGGGGUAAUGGCCUACCAAGGCGUCGACGGGUAGCCGGCCUGAGAGGGUGUACGGCCACAUUGGGACUGAGAGACGGCCCAGACUCCUACGGGAGGCAGCAGUGGGGAAUAUUGCACAAUGGGCGCAAGCCUGAUGCAGCGACGCCGCGUGGGGGAUGACGGCCUUCGGGUUGUAAACUCCUUUCGCUAGGGACGAAGCGUUUUUGUGACGGUACCUGGAGAAGAAGCACCGGCUAACUACGUG
rnacentral:rRNA from 1 species